CACCUUACUAUAAGUGUUGUCUAAAUAACUGGUGCCAGAAGACUCGGUAACACCAGAAACGCGAACGUUAGUCGUCUUAAACAGGCGUAAAGGGUAAGUAGGCUGCUUUAAAUAUCUAAUUUUAAAUAAGCUAAUUAAUAAUUUAACCUAAAAUUUUUCAGACCUUAAUUUAUAAUUUAAGGCUAACUAAUAAUGAAAAAAGGUAAUUAUUUGUUUUUCUAAUAAUUAUAAUUAUUAAAUUAAAAAAAUAGAUACACUUAAAGCUAGAAUCAUAAUUGAGAUAAACCAAAUAAUACUUAUGUGUAAGGGCGAUAUCUGAAAAUACUAAGUAGAAUACUAACGGUGAAAACUUUUUAUCUAGGAAUGAUUGACGCUGAGGUACGAAAGUGAGAACAGGGAAUAGGAU
rnacentral:rRNA from 1 species